GAAGACCCGGCGAAAACUGACCUCAACAUCAGCCAUCACGAGGCAACCUAACAUCAAACAGAAGUUUGUGGCACUCCUGAAGCGGUUCAAAGUUUCUGAUGAGGUAGGCUUCGGGCUGGAGCAUGUAUCCCGGGAGCAGAUU